GCGGAUGGCCGGAUGGCCGCGGCCCCGGCGCAAGCGGGGGGCGAGGAAAGUCCGGACUCCCUGAAGCAACGGUGCCGGGUAACGCCCGGGCGGGGAAACCCGACGGAAAGCGCCACAGAGAACAGACGGCCCUGCUACGGCGGGGUCACGGUGAAACGGUGGGGUAAGAGCCCACCGCGGGGCUGGCAACAGUUCCGGCACGGCAAGCCCCACCGGGAGCAAUGCCACAUAGGACCUCCGCGGGGCACGUCCCCAGGGCCGCUUCAGCCCCAGGCAGGUCGGGUAGGCAGCUAGAGCGCGUCGGCAACGGCGGGCCUAGAUGAAUGGUCAUCCAGGGGGCUUCGGCCCCCGGACAGAAUCCGGCUUACAGGCCGUCCGCGCAA
rnacentral:RNase_P_RNA from 1 species